UUAGCAUUAGGCCUAACCUACGUAUUCGAUGAUGAAUUGAUGACGCAUCAUGAUGCUAUGAACUACUAAUGUAUCAAUAAACAUCAAAAUCAACUGUACCGUAUGACAACUUACUUUGAAAUAAUAAUUACAUUUAUAAUAAUAUAUUGAUCCAGUAGCUAGUUAAAAUAAUUUUAUUUAUCAGUGUACCUAUGUAAAUAAAAGUUACUGAGCCAAAAUGUAUUUAUUUUGUUCAAAUCCACAUUAGAAACUACAUCAUCAUAUUAAAUUAUUUUUAUUUUAUUGCGAUGAGUGUUGUUGCACCCAAGUGACCAACAGAUGGCGAUUGGAAUUUCUAUAGUCUCUUUCCUAGAAUAACAAAUUACCUAUAUGCUUUCUAAAGGCAGAUAUCCACUGCUGACUAAAUCAUCUUGGAAAACAACAAAACUUUAUAAAACUAAUAAUAUUAAUCAUAAAAGUAUUAUUUCUCAUAUAAGUCUUUGAGUAUUCUCAUAAUAAUUCAUUAAAAAUCAAGUUAUUACAUAAUUAUAGGAAAUUAGAAAAUCUCAGUUGGUAAUUAUUUAUAAUUAAGUAGUAAUCUAGUAGUCUUUAAAAACUAACAAAUUACCUAUAAUGUAGGGCCUUAUAAUCACAGUUAGUUUUUACAGAUAUAUGACGCUAAUCUCGUCAUUUUAAGUGUGGAUGCAAGUCAUGCAAGUCAUGGCGUGCAAGUGUGUAGCCCACACGACUCGGCGAUUUGGAAUACUCAGCCGCUGAAAGGCUC